AUCAGCUUAAUGGUGGUGAUACGGUGAAAGGCUAAAAUAAUAAUACGUCAAUAUCAAGUACACCAUCCUACAAUGAUCCCUAACUUCCCGCAAAUAAACCAGACUUUUGAGUUCACUUGACACGGCACACCAAAAAAGAGCCAACUAAAUGCAAAAUGUAGAUCACCAUCAAAAGCAAUUACAAAACUUAGAAGCACUUCCUGUGGACAAUGGAUGGACCGGAUUCAUCAUACUCACCCUUGGAAAUCCACAUCUGUAAAGCAAGAACGUCAGUGUCGGACAACCAUCAAACAAAAGAAGUAGAGCCAAAUAUAAAAAAAUAUAUAUUUACCUGCUGGAAGGUGCUGAGUGAUGCCAAGAUAGAUCCUCCAAUCCAGACACUGUACUUUCUCUCUGGUGGCGCAACGACCUUAAUCUUCAUGCUGCUUGGAGCAAGUGCAGUGAUCUCCUUGCUCAUGCGGUCUGCAAUACCGGGGAACAUGGUUGAACCCCCACUGAGCACAAUGUUACCGUAGAGAUCCUUCCUGAUAUCCACAUCACACUUCAUGAUAGAGUUGUAGGUAGUUUCAUGGAUUCCAGCAGCUUCCAUCCCGAUGAAAGAUGGCUGGAAGAGGACUUCCGGGCAACGGAAUCUCUCAGCUCCAAUAGUAAUAACUUGUCCGUCAGGCAACUCAUAGUUCUUCUCAACAGAUGAGCUGCUCUUGGCAGUCUCCAGCUCCUGCUCAUAGUCCAGGGCAACAUAAGCAAGCUUCUCUUUCAUGUGACGGACAAUUUCCCGUUCAGCAGUGGUGGUGAACAUGUAACCUCUCUCGGUAAGAAUCUUCAUCAAGGCAUCGGUUAGAUCACGACCUGCAAGGUCAAGACGGAGGAUGGCAUGUGGAAGGGCAUAUCCUUCAUAGAUUGGCACGGUGUGAGAAACACCAUCACCGGAAUCCAGCACAAUACCUGUUCCAAUAGAGGGAUAAUCCAGUGUCAACAUGAUUCGAAAAUAUCAUUAAAAUGAGAAAAGCUCAUAGAAGUUUCAAGUCUAACAAACCUGUUGUACGACCACUGGCAUACGGAGAGAGAACGGCCUGGAUGGCAACAUACAUAGCAGGUACAUUGAAGGUCUCAAACAUGAUCUGAGUCUCUUUUCUCUAUUGGCCUUGGGGUUGAGAGGUGCUUCCGUGAGUAGCACAGGGAGCUCCUCAGGAGCAACACGGAGUUCGUUGUAGAAUGUAUGAUGCCAGAUCUUUUCCAUAUCAUCCCAGUUGCUCACAAUACCAUGCUCAAUAGGAUAUUUCAAAGUAAGGAUACCUCUUUUAGAUUGUGCUUCAUCUCCUACAUAGGCAUCCUUCUGACCCAUCCCAACCAUAACACCAGUGUGCCGGGGACGACCAACGAUACUGGGAAAAACUGCCCUUGGAGCAUCAUCACCAGCAAAACCGGCCUACAUUACAGACAAAAUUAGCUUAACCAUAAGUUACUUUUCAUAAAGAAAUAAACAAUAACCGAGAUUAUGACUCAGGUCUAGAAGUGUUCAUAGACCGGCCAGGUUUGUGUAUGAUAUCAUCAUAAUUCUUAUGUGCCCAAGCUCGGCUUAGUCCAUAAUAUGAUCUCAUAUUUUACCCAAAUCUACCAAUAGUAUUUUCUAUUUCUUAAAAUAUAUUUUUUUUGGGUAUUCUCCAUGUCCAUGUUUAUGGUCCUUGUUCAUGGAUUAUAGAUACCUUUCCCAACAAUAUCGUUUCCAAGGUCUAAAUCUAUGUCUCCUCUCUUGAGUGCAAUAUGCCUUACCAUUGAUUUAGAAAAUUAAUGUUUAAAUUAUAGUAUUAUAUAUGUAUCUAUUAUAUCUAUAAAUUAUAUAAUGUAAAUGAGCUGAGCUGCAUUCAGGCUUUGAAUGUAGAAGCCUGAGCUAAGCCCACUUAAACAGAUUUUAUCCUUGUCCAAGUCUAAAAGCUAGGUGUCAGGUUUGCUUUGGUCUAAAAAAUAACUAACCUUCACCAUUCCAGUUCCAUUAUCACAGACGAGGGGUUGAAUAUCCUCACCGUCGGCCAUCUUUUACAAUACUGAAAAUAAGAAUCUAGGUAGUGAGUACAGCAAAAUCACUUGACAACGCGGGUUCUGUGCCCUUCAACUAAUCUAAACAAGCUAAAUUAAAGACAUUUGACAAAUCAAUUUCUAGUUUCUCUAAAUAGAAAAAUAAAAAAAUAGAAAAAUAAAAAAUAAAAACAGAAACACUUAGACUCCAUUUGUUUGCCAGUAAAAUAAUUUCGAAAAAUAAUUUCUAAAAAAUGAUUUACUUUUCUGAAAAUGAUUUACUUUUUUAGUGUUUGGAUGAAUCUACAAAAAAUAUUUUCCAUUGUUUGACAGAUUUCCUGAAAAGCUAUUUUAAAAAAUUUAUAUAUUUAAAAAUUUAUUAUCUUUUCAUUGUUUGAUUGAGUUUAUUAUAUAUAUAUAUUAAUAAAUUUAUAUUUUAAAUUAUUUUUACAUAUAUUACAAUGAUUUAUUUAUUUAAUAUAUAAUAAUGCUCAAUUAUUAAACUAGAAUAUUAACCGUCAUAAAUUGAAAACAACCAAAGUUAAAUAAAUUAUUUGUAAUUGUGUUAUAAAAAAAAUAAAAAACAAGGAUUGAAUAAUUAUAUAUUAACUUCCAAACCACAAUUAAUACUAGAAAUUAGUAAUCCCAAUAACAUUAAUUCUUAACACCUUCCAUGAAAAUACUUCGACAUAGCACUACCAUUAACAUUUUCACCAAACAGUUAAUGCUGGAGCAGUCCGUCUGUUAGAUGUUACUCUAAGCUCCUAUUCGGAUUUGCUAGGCAAGAACGACUUGACACAAUUGUUCUUUAAAGGCCUGCAUCAAGACUCAUUAAGUAAACUGGUCAAAGCUUAAAUGCAGAAAUACGAGAGACAGAAGUAACCAUGCAAUUCUCAAUGAGACUUUUGUGUGGUAGAACUUAAAAUGUAUAAUUAGUAUCGACCAAGGUCAGAAUAAGAAUGAAUCGGAACUAAAUUAGAAGUAAACGAAUCCCGAAACAACUGACCUUUCAGAAGUUAAUAGCUACAUUGAGCUGUCAAGUAUUGUGACAAUGGGGUUUGCUAUAAUCUUCAAUUCUCAAUUGCAGCAUCAAACACGUCGAAGGGAAACCUCCAACUGCUCUAUCCUCUUAGCCAGAUCAUGCUUCCCACAAUUCUUUAAACCAUCGGUAACCAUAUCAAAGCACCUUGAAAUUGGUGCUAAUCCCAGCUCAGUCAUCUCCACCAAAUAAUUUGCUGCCUCUACAAAUCUGCCUCCACGUCCACACAUUGUUAUCAACAUUGUAUAGACCGGUCUGUUUGGAGCAUGACCCUUGAUUUUCAUCUCACUGAAAAAGCUAAAUGCAUCAUCAAACUGCCCUUUCCUACACAAGCCUUUGAUUAUAGGUGCAUACAAACUAGGGAAUGGCUUAUAACCUUGUUCAAUUGAAUUAUUUAAAAGUCUAAAUGCCUCGUCAAUCCUACCGACUUUUGAAGCUGCAGGUAUCAAUAUUUUGUAAGUAAUAAUAUCCGGACAAAGCCCCAAUUUACAAACACUAUGAUACAUAUCGAUGCAGAAAUCAAUCUCCUCAGUUUUACAAAUUGUUUCCACCAAAGAAUUAAAUGUAGCAAUGUCAGGCACAAACCCUUCCUUGGUCAUUCUUCUUACCAUUUUCUUGGCUGAUUCAAGAUAACCUGCAUUCAACAAACCUUCUAUCAACAAAUCUCGACCUCUAACCGGAGGAUUAAACCCCUUCUUACUCAUGUCCUCCAAGAAGUCUUGCGCUUCCUUCAUCUUCCCAGAGGAACACCAUCCAUUCACCAGAACUGUGUAUGUCCUCUUGUCUGGUACCUCACCUUUCCUAAUCAUCCUCCGGAUUAAUGCAUAUGCUCCAUGGAACAUCUUCACCUCACAAAGUGCAACGAGCAAUGAAUUGUAAACGCUAACGGUCUGUUUGCAACCUAAAUUAGUGCUUUUGUUGAAAACUUCCACAGCCUGGUCUAUGAGGCCGUUCUUCCCGUACUCUUCAAUGAUAAAAGAAAGGGUAUCACAAGAAAGGCUAAGCUGCUGCUUUUGCAUUUGUUGAAUGGUUUUCCACAUGGAUUCAUACUUCCUAUGGAGAAUGAGGAUCUUGACUAGCUCCUCAAAUUCGACGGAGGUGGGGAUGUAGUGGGAACGGGCCCAUGAGAAGAAGCGAAGAGAUUCUGUAGGGGAGUUUGAGCAGGAACGAAGUACGCGGAAUACAAGUUCAGAGUUCACAGAAAGGUUCAUGUGGUUGAGAGUGCGCUCUGGAUGAACUUCACGACGAACAAUGUUGGAAAUGUGGUGGAUAGCUGCAAAAUAGUCAUCUUUUGAAACAAAAGUACCUUGGAGAGAAUUUACUGAGGUUAGGGUCCUAAAGGAACAGAGAAUGUUCUGGGAUCUAUUUCCAUAUUUGUGGAGCAGCUGUGCAGACCGAAGCAUUUGCAGUAGAAAUUACAGUCCAGAAACCUCCAUUUCCACCUUGAUACUGAUUAAUUGACUGAACCAACAGAGGAAUAUUAUGCUGCAAGUUCAAAGAACUUUCGAACUAUAACAAGGAAUAAACAGAAAAUACCAAUCACAUGUACCACAUUGAAAAGGAAACAAGACAAGAUGACAAAAAUCAAUUGUAAAGAAACUCACUCUUAUCAUACAUUAACAUAUAAACAUAUUAAGUUCACUUCUAUGAGUCCUAAGUUUUGCAGUUGUUGCUUCUUUAGACCUAGCCCUCUAGGGCAAAAAGAAUUUGAGCUACAUUUCGCUAACACCAAAGAGAAAUGCAUAAAAAUGGUAUACUGAGCAUCAGAAAAUGGCAUUUCUUAAAAUCAUUUCACAUUAGCAACUUGUUUGAUAUCCAAAAUUGAACGAUGAACUGAAUUUGUAAAUUUCUUAUUCCACUCUCAUGUUCAUUCAAAUUGAGCAUGUUUUCAAGCUUUCAACAACAAGGCAUCGUAGGUAACCCAUAGAAACAGAACAAUUAAAGAAGAAAAAAAACCAAAUAACAUAAAACAAAUAGCUCCAUAAAAUUGCCUGCAUAGUUUAACAGUCGGAUACAACUAUUAAACAUAACCCAGUUUGAGAAAGCAAAGCUCAAUAAUUGAAAAUGACAUUUUCUAAGAAAAGAAGUUGGUUUUAUCCAUUAAAGCUAAAUACCCAUUAAUAAAUUCAUCACUUUUAACCCAUGUAUAUAACUUCUUAUAUCAAAGAAGAGAUUGACAAUCUUAAAGAAAGUCGAACAGAAGCUUAAAGGUAGAGGCUUUGAAUAACUCAAUUACACAGAUCGGCAGAUUUUGAAAAAAAAUAAAAGCAAAGUAAAAGGUUUACCUGAGUAAACAAAAGAACGAAGGAGGAGCUUCAGAGAAAGAGAGAGAGGGAAGAAGAAAAAGCAGAAGAAGAAGCAAAAACGACGACGCUUUUUUCCCCUUUUUCAGUUUUUCUCUCUUCUCGUAGUUGUUGUGCAGCUGCUGGAGGCGUAAAUACAAUGUGUAAGAAGAAAAAGAUAACAGGUAUUUAUGCAUCUGCCCUUUUUUCUUUUUGCAUAACCACGAGUGAUAUUAUUUUUAACGUUUUAAAAAUAAAAUGUUUUUUUAUUUAUUUUAAAAGAAACUUUAUUUAAUAAAUAUAUUUGAGAUAUAUCAUAUUGGGUACCUAUAUUUUCAUAAAAUAUUCAAUGUGGUACCUUCACUUUAAAAAUGUCCAACGCAAUACUUGAACUAUCAAUAUAUAUUUUAUUAUGGUUCUUAUACUUUCAUAAAAUGUUAAAUGGUUAACCAGAUGUUUAAUUAUUUAUUUUUUUGUUUUAUUUAAUUUUUCACAAUAAUGUUAUAGUAUUCACAUGGACUUGAUGAUUUGAAAAAAGAAAACUCUAUGUGUCAAAUUUUAAUUGAUUGAUUUAGCAAUUCAAAAAUAAUGUUAAUAUCAUGUACUAUAAUAGAACACAUAUUAAUAAUUCAGGUAUCACAUUGGACAUUCUAAAAUAUAAGUACCACAUUGAACAUUUUAUAAAAGUACAAGUAUCAUAAUAAAAUACAUAUUGAUAGUUUAGGUAUCAAAUUAGACAUUUUCAAAGUAUAUUUACCAUAUUAAACAUUUUUAUGAAACUACAUGCACCAAAUAUGAAAUUAUCCCACUAUAUUUUUAUUUAUAAAUAAUUUUAAUAAUUAGGUCGACGUUAUUUAAUUGCUAUAAUUUAGGUCGCUUUAAUAUUUUCUGAAUUAAUCCUACGGAUUAAUUUUUUUCUUUAAUUAUUUUUUUAAAAGUCUUUUAAAUUGAUAAAUUACAGUAAUUUAAAUUAAAUUUUUGGUUAUCUAAUUUUAAAAAUUUAUUAUAUAAUGACUUAUAUUAAGUCGAAUCCCUAAAAUUAAAAGAUAUAAUUAAAAUUUACAUACUAAACCAUUAUAUAAAAAUUAUUAUUGUAUAAGAUUUUUUGUUUUAGUUUAAGAUUAUAGUAAUUUCCGAGUCUGCUUAAUAGCACGGGUUAGGGUUUUUCAAACCGUUAGAAAUUGAAGUAGACGGUAAUGUUGGUACGCAACGUCAAAGAAAAAUUAAAACAUUUAUUGCUUUCUUCUACUUGGUAGAUGGUCUUGGUCAAGGCGCAUAUAUAUAUAAAAGAAAGAAAUGAUAAUAUUCUUAAAUUAAUUGACAGUUUUUCUUUUAUUCAAUUUAAUCUUGAUUUUAAAUAUAAUUUAUUAAUGUUAUUGAAUUGAGUUAAUAUUUUUUUAACCUCUAAUCAUUAAUGUUUUUGCAUGUAUUAUAUAUGUAUAAUUCAAUUAACUUGGUUAUUGUGAUAGUGUGUUUGGAUACUUAUAACAUUUAAAAAAUUUGGGUCGACCAGAAAGCAAAUAUUUUUUCAAGAAACGAGGAAAUAAAUAAAUAUAACAUUUAUACCAUUUGUUCAUGGUAUAUUUUCAUCAUAAGUCAGUCGGGGUUUACUUGCAUUUUUAAUCCUUUGUAUCUUACAUAUGUCACAAAUUAAUCUUAUUAAUUAGUACUAUUUUUAAAAGAAGGUUUAAGGGUGUAAAAAACUCUCGAACUUUAAAAAUAAAAAUAAUUAAAUUUUUUUUCCCACUCAAUUGGGUACCUAAACUGUCAAAAUGCAUCCAAAAUGCCCUUUUAACGAUCAAAGGGCUUUUUUAAUACAUUUUGUUAGUUUAGGUAUCCAAUUGAGUCAAAUGAUCUUUUUUAUGCAUUUUGACAGUUUAGAUACGCAAAAAAAGAGAGCAAUGACUUAAUUUCUUUUAAAGUUUGGAGUUUUUUGCACUCUUUAAGCCUUAUCAAAGAAAGAUAUUUGGGGCUGUUGACUAUGGUUGGGAGACGAAAAAAAAUGCAUUUGUGCAUAUCAAAGAACGCUUUAUAAGCGUACUGAGCGGGGAGGGGGGAAAGAAGUAUUUUUGAAAUUUAUUUUACAAGCCAUCUCGAUUUAUGCAAUGCAGUGUUUUAAACUUUCAACCUAGAGAGUCUUAUGAGUAAAUUCUGGUGGAGGAACCCCAAAACCAAUAAAGGCAUACAUUAGUGCAAGUGGAGUUAUUUGUGUAUCCCCAAAACGAAGGGAGGUCUCGAUUUUAAGGAUUUAGAAAAUUUUAAUCUAGCCAUGUUAGCGAAGAGGGUUGGAAAAUCAUUAUGCAACCUCAAUGUCUAUUUGCUCGAGUCAUGAAAGCAAAAUAUUUUCCAAUAGGGGAUUUUAUGAGUGCUGGGUUAGGAUCUUAUCCUUCGUUUACCUGACGAAGUAUAUGGAGUGCUAGACAAAUCCUAGAGGAGGGUAUGAGGUAGAGAGUUGGGAAUGAAUCAAUUAACAUUUGGAACGAUAGCUGGAUGCCGGGGCUAGGAAGUGGAAGAGUGUAAUGUCAAAACAUAGAUAUUAGAUAUACAAAUGUCUCUGAUUUAAUUGAUAGGGAUACCAAUACCUGGAAGCAAGACGUUAUCAGAUUCUUAUUUGGGGAGGAGCAGUUAAGGAGUAUUCUUUCAAUCCCUUUAAUGAGCAGUCAACCUUAUGAUCAGCUAAUUUGGCGAGGAGAUAAUACAGGGCAGUACACAGUCAAAAGUGGCUAAAAUGGAUCAAUACAAGCGGAAGUUAUAGAUUACAUACCGACAGUCCUACCACUUUCUAUACAAAGCUGUGGGGACUUAAUAUACCGAGCAAAAUUUGUAUCCUUAUGUGGCGAAUAGCCAAUGAUUUUUUGCCCACGUUAUACAACCUAAGACUGUGGAAAUUGGAAACUAAUUCAUUAUGCCUGGUGUGUCAAACUGAGGAGGAAACAGUGAGCCAUCUGUUUCGGGAUUGUUCUUUCACACAACAGGUUUUGCGAAGGUUAGGAGUGCCAGACGUAACAUGUAAUAGAAAACCUAAUUGGAAAUAGUGGUUAGCAAAAGUAGUUGAAAGCCAGAAUGCAGAAAGUAAUAUGAUUAGAUUGAUCAGUUACUGGGCUAUAUGGUAUAACAGUAACAAGCUUUAUCAUGAAGGAAUCAAAGAACAAGUUCAUGGGUUAGUAGCGUUUAUCGAUACCUAUCAUACAGAAAUUAAUGUUAUGGGACAAAUAUCAAAAAAUGCGAAUGGUGUGGUGGAAGUUUCUUGGAAACCUCCAACAGGUGACAUUAUUAAAAAUAAUUAUGAUGCAUCAUUCGACCAGGGCACGGGAAAAUCAGUUUCCGGAAUAUUAGCACAAAAUAGAGAAGGUCUUGUAAUGGCUGCUUGUAUCUUUCCUUGGGAGAACAUUCCAGAUUCAAUGAUGGCGGAGGCAAGGGCGUGUCUGCAAGCAGUUACCAUCGCGAAGGAAAUGGGAUUUCAGGACAUUCUUGUGCAGGGUGAUGCGUUGACCAUAAUCCGCAAACUAAACUCUGCUGAGGAUGAUAAGUUGAGCAUUAGUAGCCUGAUUAAAGAAAUCAAAUGGAGAGGUCAUAGAUUCAAAAGGUUACGUUUUGAGUAUGUACCUCGAGAGGCCAACAAAGUGGCUCAUGGAAUGGCGCUAGAAGGAAGACAACAUGAAAACCCCCAAUACUAGAUUGAGGAAGCUCCGCUCGCGGUGGUUGGAUUGAUUGACCACGAUAGAGGCAGAAUAAGCUAACGGUGUUGAAAUGGCAAAGUCGAGUCCGGACAUUGUGAUAGUGGGUGGGUCCGAAGAACUUGUAAUUUUAACGGAGACUGAGAUUUUGAAGGUUGAUUUUUGUGGGAAGCUUGGUCUCGCAAUCGACUAGUACCGAUGGGUGUUCUUCAUGCAAAAGGAGAGUAAAGGUUUUCAGGCCUAAUUUUUUAGUUUCUCUGUCGUUUUAUGUUCUGAGAUUAUUUUAGUGUUUUUAUUUUAUUUUACAUUAAUUAGUUUUCUUGAAAGUACUGUUUAGGUAGCCAGCUGUUGGUGUAUAGUUGUUAGCAUUUCUUUUCCUAUGCCUGUAAUUAAAUCAUAUUUCCUCCCAUCAAUGCAGUAUCGGCUGAGUAGUAUUAAAAAAAAAAUUAUAGUAAUUUCCAUAAAAGGAUUUUACAAACCGUUAGAAAUUGAAGUAGAUGGUAAUGUUGGUACACAACGUCAAAGAAAAAAUAAAACAUUUAUUACUUUCUUCUACUUGGUAGAUGGAGUGGAGAUCUUGGUCAAGGCAUAUAUAUAUAUACCACAAGAAAGAAAUGAUAAUGUUCUUAAAUUAAUUUCAACAUUAGUUCACAGUUUUUCUUUUAUUCAAUUUAAUCUUGAUUUUAAAUGUAAUCUAUUAAUGUUAUUGAAUUUAGUUAAUAUUUUUAUGACCUCUAAUCAUUAAUGUUUUUGCAUGUAUUACAUAUGUGUAAUUCAAUUAACUUGGUUAUUGUGAUAGUUGUUUGGAUACUUAUAACAUUUAAAAAACUUGGUUGACGAGAAGCAAAUAUUUUUUCAAGAAAUGAGAGAAAUAAAUAAAUAUAACAUUUAUACCAUUUGUUCAUGGUAUAUUUUCAUCAUAAGUCCCUCUGCCACUUGUAUUAUUAAUUUACAUUAUUAAUCCUUUGUAUUUUACAUAUGUCACAAAUUAAUCUUAUUAAUUAGUACUAUUUUUAAAAGAAGGUUUAAGGGUGUAAAAAGCUCUCGCACUUUAAAAAUAAAAACAAUUAAAAAAAAUUUCUCACUCAAUUGGGUACCUAAACUGUAAAAAUGCAUCCAAAAUGCCCUUUUAACGAUCAAAGGGCUUCUUUAAAACAUUUUGGUAGUUUAGAUACCCAAUUGAGUCAAAUGGUUUUUUUUAUGCAUUUUGACAGUUUAGAUACGCAAAAAAAAAAGAGGAAAAAAAAGAGCAAUGACUUAAUUUCUUUUAAAGUUUGGAUUUUUUUACACUCUUUAAGCCUUAAAAGAAAUGAAUUUCAUCUAUUUUUUACAAUUAUUUUAAAACUAAUACAAAAUGUUAGAAUAUUUGAAGUAAAAGUGUAUGGAAAUAAAUAAUGAAAUUUAAAUAUAUUAAAAAUGUAUUAAAUAUUAAUAUUAAAAAGUUUUUUAAAAUCUUAAUAUUUUAAAAUUUAAUUAUUUAAGGCAGAAUAUUUGAUGCAUUAUUAUCAAUACAUAGGUUUCAUGUAUCAUCAGUUAAUAAUAAGAUGACACAUUAUCACUUAUGUAAAACAAAAAAUAUUGAAGGGUUUAAAAAUAAAUAUAAAUAAAUUUAUCUUUUUAAAAAGUAAAUAUUAAUUAUCAUCAUUAAACAUAAAAAUAAAAAAAAUCAAAUACGAAAUUUGAAAUCCAAAACCUCAAAACCAAAAUUUGAAACCAAAAAAAUUAAACCUAAAACUUGAAAGAAAAAUAACAAAUAUAAUUAAUACUUAAUUAUGUUUAAUAAGUUAAUAUUAUUUAUUUUAAAGUCUUUCACUGUUUUUUUAUUUUACAUUGUAUGAUUUUAUUAUUAAUUAAUGGUGUAAAAUUGUGGAAACCUAGAUUAUCACAGCAAUUAAGAUAUUAUUAAAGUUUUUCGUUCAAUUUCGUAGUGUUCUCACUUUAUUUCUCAUUUAAAUGCAUUUCAAAAAGACUCAAAACACUAAAUUUCAUCUGCCAUAUCUAAAGAAGAAAUAUUUAACUGAAAAACCAAAAAAAAAAAAAGCUCGGGUAAGACCAAAAUUUAACAAUAUCAUGUUAUUAAAAUAAUAUAAUCAUCAAAGCCGAUAUUAAAUUAUUACAAUAACGAGAAUUCAUAAGACAAAUGACAUUGUAAUUCAUGAAUAAUCUGAUGAAUUGUUUUUUUUUUCUUUUAAUUAAUAGUUCCUAUUCUCAACCAGCAUGCGCACAUCAUUACACAGCAGACUCCGAUAGCCAUUUAGCCAUAUAAUUACCAAUCGUGUUAUAGACCCUCGGCACCUUUUCAAGUUCGACCUCCCAGCGCCGUUGUAGCAGCACCAUAAUCCUCCGAACCAGUGAGCAAUCAUGCCAGCCAUCAGUUGCAGCACCUCAUUGUUGUUGCUCUCGACUAUCAACUGUCGAUAAACUUUAUCCAAACCACCAAGAACCACCCACAACUCCAAGUGGAGAACCACCGCUAUGCCAAGCUGCCUAGUAAACACAACAAUCCGGCUUAAAUGGCAAUUGAUUGUAUCUUGAAGUAAAUAGUUUAUUACGUCUUGUUUCUUUUCGUUUGUAAUGAGAUUAUUAAGAUUUUGUUUUCAUUGAAAAUUUUAUGAUAUUUUGUUAUUUUUCAUGUUAGAUUCUAGUUAUGAAUGUGCUUUCUCUUUGGAGCUUGGAUAAAUUUCAACAUUUUUGUAGUCAGAAAUUGCAUUAAUAAGAUUGAAGUUAUUAGUUUAUUGCAUCUGGUUUUUCUUUUCAUUAUAAUGAAAUUAGUAGGAUUCUAUUUUCAUUGAAAAUUAUAUGAAUUUUUUUUUUCUAUGUUUCUAAUUGACAAUAUACUUUCUUUUUAGAUCUUGACAUGUUUUAACAUUUUUGCAGUUACAAUUUGCCUUAAACAAGAUUGAAAUAAUUACUUUUGUAAUACUUCAGAGUUAAUUGCAUUUUGAUAAAUGGAUAUAUUUUAUAUAACUUUUCAAACAUAGGACUAAAUUAACUUUUUUUUAGAAUUAAUAUUAAAUUGGGACUAAAUUUAAUAGUGUCAGUAUAUUUAAUGCGGACUCGUAUUUGAGGUUCCGUUCGCGGUGAAUCUGAUGAAAAUUUGAUGAAGAUAGUGACUAUAGCACUGAAUUUGAAAAUGAGAUUUGAUUCAGAGCUAUCCUUUCCACACAAAAAUGGUGGAAUUAUCAAGGGAGCUAUCCAUUCCACACAAUUAAACAGGUUUAUACCCGAUGAACUCAAAGCAUAAAAGGAUACACAAUAUUCCAAAACCAGGUAUUAAAUAUAAGUUCCAUAGAAGUUUGACCGCAAACUGACACUAAUUUUUCAAAAAAAAAUCUCGUACAAUAAUAGCUAUUAACAUUAAUGUUCUCAAAACCCUUGAAUAUUAAAUAAUAAAAUAAAAUAAAAUAAAAAAGCACCACAAUCCACUCUCCAGCUCCAAACAUCCUUUUAAGCAGCAACAUGGUUCAAAGAUGGAUUGUAAGGAAGGAAUUAAGCACCAAUUGUCCGCCCACCGCCAUCUCCAUAGGACCCAUCAUCUUAAUGGUGGUGAUACGGUGAAAAGCUAAAAUAAUAAUACGUCAAUAUCAAGUACACCAUCCUACAAUGAUCCCCAACUCCCCCCACAUAAACCAGACUUUGGAGUUCACUUGACACCGCACACAAAAAAAGCCAACUAAAUGCAAAAUGUAGAUCACCAUCAAAAGCAAUUACAAAACUUAGAAGCACUUCCUGUGGACAAUGGAUGGACCGGAUUCAUCAUACUCACCCUUGGAAAUCCACAUCUGUAAAGCAAGAACGUCAGUGUCAGACAACCAUCACACGAAAGAAGUAAAGCCAAAAAUACAAAAAUAUUUACCUGCUGGAAGGUGCUGAGUGAUGCCAAGAUAGAUCCUCCAAUCCAGACACUGUACUUUCUCUCUGGUGGCGCAACGACCUUAAUCUUCAUGCUGCUUGGAGCAAGUGCAGUGAUCUCCUUGCUCAUGCGGUCUGCAAUACCAGGGAACAUGGUUGAACCCCCACUGAGCACAAUGUUACCGUAGAGAUCCUUCCUGAUAUCCACAUCACACUUCAUGAUAGAGUUGUAGGUAGUUUCAUGGAUUCCAGCAGCUUCCAUCCCGAUGAAAGAUGGCUGGAAGAGGACUUCCGGGCAACGGAAUCUCUCAGCUCCAAUAGUAAUGACUUGUCCGUCAGGCAACUCAUAGUUCUUCUCAACAGAUGAGCUGCUCUUCGCAGUCUCCAGUUCCUGCUCAUAGUCCAGGGCAACAUAAGCAAGCUUCUCCUUCAUGUCACGGACAAUUUCCCGUUCAGCAGUGGUGGUGAACAUGUAACCUCUCUCGGUAAGAAUCUUCAUCAAGGCAUCGGUUAGAUCACGACCUGCAAGGUCAAGACGGAGGAUGGCAUGUGGAAGGGCAUAUCCUUCAUAGAUUGGCACGGUGUGAGAAACACCAUCACCGGAAUCCAGCACAAUACCUAUCCCAAUAGAGAGAGAAUCCAGUGUCAACAUGAUUCCAAAAUACCAUUAAAAUGAGAAAAGCUCGUAGAAGUUUCGAGUCUAACAAACCUGUUGUACGACCACUGGCAUACAAAGAGAGGACAGCCUGGAUGGCAACAUACAUAGCAGGUACAUUGAAGGUCUCAAACAUGAUCUGAGUCAUCUUUUCUCUAUUGGCCUUGGGGUUGAGAGGUGCCUCCGUGAGAAGCACAGGGUGCUCCUCAGGAGCAACACGGAGUUCAUUGUAGAAUGUAUGAUGCCAGAUCUUUUCCAUAUCAUCCCAGUUGCUCACAAUACCAUGCUCAAUAGGAUAUUUCAAAGUAAGGAUACCUCUUUUAGAUUGUGCUUCAUCUCCUACAUAGGCAUCCUUCUGACCCAUCCCAACCAUAACACCAGUGUGCCGGGGACGACCAACAAUACUGGGAAAAACUGCCCUUGGAGCAUCAUCACCAGCAAAACCAGCCUGCAUUACAGACAAAAUUAGCUUAACCAUAAUAUACUUUUCAGAAAGAAAUAAGCAAUAACCGAGAUUUAUAACUCAGGGUUAGAGGUGUUCAUAGAAAGGGCCAGGUUUGUGUAUGAUAUCAUCAUAAUUCCUAUGUGCACAAGCUUGGCUUAGUCCAAAAUAUGAUCUUAAAUUUUACUCAAAUCCACCAAUACUACUAUUUUUUAAAAUAUAGUUUUCAUUUAAUAUUUAGUAUUUUUUGGUAUUCUUCAUACCGGUUUUAUACUCCAUGUUUGAGAAUUGUAGUUAAAUUAUAAUAUUAUAUAUUUAACUAUCAUAUAUAUAUAUAUAUAGAUUAUAUAAUAGAAAUGAGCUGAGCUGGUUUCAAGCUUUGAAUGUAGAAGCCUGCGCUAGGCCCACUUAAAACGAAUUUUUUUUUCGUCUAAGCCUAAAGGCCAGGAGUUAGGUUUGCUUUAGUCUAAACAUUAACUAACCUUCACCAUUCCAGUUCCAUUAUCACAGACGAGGGGUUGAAUAUCCUCACCGUCGGCCAUCUUUUACAAUACUGCAAACAAGAAUCGAGGUAGUGAGUGCAGCAAAAAACACUUGUCAACGCGUAUUAUGUGCCCUUCAACUAAUCUAGACAAGUUAAAUUAAAGACAUUUGACAAAUCAAUUUCUAGUUUCUCUAAAUGGAAAAAGAAGAAGUAAAGAGCAGAAACACUUGGUCAACAUUAAUUUCUUCAAAUACAGAAAAUAGAACAGCCCAAUGUCCUAGCUGUCUAUGAAACAGCGCAAACAACUAUAGUAGUUAAAAUCGUAGGCAACAUUUAUUUGUGAGAAUCUAAUCAAGCUACCGUAUAAUUCGAUGAACAACAAAUUGAACCAAUUAGAAAUAAAGAUCGAGAUUAGAGCUGUUAAAGCUCUUAAAACAAAAACUUUGAAAAGUAUCGAAUCUACACAAUGAAAGCAUUAAUCAAUACAAGUUGGUCGAAGAUCAAGUUCAAAACAAAGAGAAACAAUCAAUUCUCGUUAGAUCUAUAAAGAAAUAGCAAAUGUAAUGAAGUGGAUCGAGCUAAGUAAAGAUCCAGCUACAAUAGGAGCAGAUCGAGUUAAAUCUAACACUCCGAAACGCUUUAGAAGCUUCUAGAACUGUAGAUCUCAGUUGCAUCAUAACCAAAACAUCAAACUCAAGCAUCAAAUACACAGAUCUGCAGAUUUUGAAGAAAAAUAAAAGCAAAAUAGAAGAUUUACCUGAAUAAAUGAAAGAACGAAAGAGGAACUUCGGAGAAGGAGAGAGAGCGAAGUAGAAGAAGAAGCAAAAACGACGACGCUUUUUUUCCCCUUUACUCUCUUCUCUGUAGUUGUGGUGCAGCUGCUGGAGACGUAAAUGCAGUGUGUAAGAGAAGAAAGAAAACCGGUAUUUAUCUAUCUACAAUUUCUUUUCCCCUUUUUUUUUGGAUAGGAUAUUUUUUUAAUGUUUUAAAAAUAAAAAAAUUAUUUAUUUUAAAAUAAAUUUUGUUUAAUAAAUAUAUUUGAGAUAAUAACAAUUUUGUACAUAUAUUUUCUUAAAAUGUUCAAUUAGGCUCCGUUUAUUUGUCAGUAAAAUAUUUUCCAGAAAAUGAUUUCUGGAAAAUGAUUUACUUUUUUGGAAAUUAUUUACUUUUAUUGUGUUUGAAUGAAUUUGUGUAAAAUAUUUUCUAUUGUUUAGCAGAUUUCUUGAAAAUAUUUUCCUGAAAAGUUGUUUUAAGAAAUUUAUAUAUUUAAAAAUUUAUUAUUUUUUCAUUAUUUGAUUGAGUUUAUUAUAUAUAUUAAUAAAUUUAUAUUUUAAAUUAUUUUUACAUAUAUUGCAAUAAUUUAUUUAUAAAUAAAUAAAUCAUUUUAAAUAUAUAAUAAUGCACAAUUAUUAAACUAGAAUAUUAACGGUUAUAAAUUGAAAACAACCAAAAUCAAAUAAAUUAUUUGUAAUUGUGUUAUAAAAAAAUAAAAAAAAAAUUGAAUAAUUAUAAAUUAGCUUCCAAACCACAAUUAAUACUAGAAAUUAAUAAUCCCAAUAACAUUAAUUCUUAACACCUUCCAUGAAAAUACUUCGACAUUGCACUACCAUUAACAUUUUCACCAAACAGUUAAUGCUGGAGCGGUUCGUCUGUUAGAUGUUACUCUAAGCUCCUAUUCUGAUUUGCUAAGCUACAACGACUUGACACAAUUGUUCUUGAAAGGCCUGCAUCAAGCCUCAUUAAGUAAAUUGGUUGAAGCUUAAAUGCAAAAAUACGAGAGACAAAAGUAACCAAGUAAUUCUCAAUGAGACUUUUGUGUGGUAGAACUUAAAAUGUAUAACUAGUAUCGAACAAGGUCAGAAAUAAGAAAAAAACAAAGAGAAAAAAGGGCAUGUUGCUGCCAUUUUUGAAAUGAUUUAAUAUCGCCGAAGUAAUGUUUAAACCCAAUUAUUCAAGGCAAAGAUAAAAAAUCGGAACUAAAUUAGAAGUAAAUGAAUCUCGAAACAACUUACCUUUCAAAAGUUAAUAGCUACAUUGAGCUGUCAAGUAAUGCUUAUUUUUUUGUUUUAUUUAAUUUUUCACAAUAAUGUUAUAGUAUUCACAGACUUGAUGAUUUGAAAAAAGAAAACUCUAUGCGUCAAAUUUUAAUUGAUUGAUUUAGCAAUUCAAAAAUAAUGUUAACAUCAUGUACUAUAAUAGAACACAUAUUAAUAAUUCAGGUAUCACAUUGGACAUUCUAAAAUAUAGGUACCACAUUGAGCAUUUUAUAAAAGUACAAGUAUCAUAAUAAAAUACAUAUUGAUAGUUUAGGUAUCAAAUUAGACAUUUUCAAAAUAUAUUUACCAUAUUAAACAUUUUUAUCAAACUACAUGCACCAAAUAUGAAAUUAUCCCACUAUAUUUUUAUUUAUAGAUAAUUUUAAUAAUUAGGUCGACGUUACUUAAUUGCUAUAAUUUAGGUCGCUUUAAUAUUUUCCGAAUUCCUAAGGAUUAAUUUUUUUCUUUAAUUAUUUUUGUGAAAGUCUUUUAAACUGAUAAAUUACAGUAGUUUAAAUUAAAUUUUUGGUUAUCCAGUUUUAAAAAUUUAUUAUAUAAUGACUUAUAUUGAGUCGAAUCCCUAAAAUUAAAAUUUACAUACUAAACCAUUAUACAAAAAUUAUUAUUGUAUAAGAGUUUUUGUUUUAGUUUAAGAUUAUUGUAAUUUUCGAGUCUGCUUAAUAGCACGGGCUAGGGUUUCUUUCGUCUGCUUAAUAGCACAAAUAUUUCUUUUGGGGUCUGUUUGUUUGGCAGUAAAAUAUUUUCCGUAAAAUGAUUUCUGGAAAAUGUUUUACUUUUCUGUAAAAUGAUUUACUGGAAAAUAUUUUCUGGUGUUUGGUAAAUCUGUGUAAAAUAUUUUUUACUGUUUGGCAGAUUUCCUGAAAAUAUUUUCCGGAAAAGUUGUUUUUACAUAUAGUAAUAUAUAUUUAUUAAUAUAUAUUAAUAAAUUAUUUUUACAUAUGUUGCAAUGAUUUAAUUAUAAUAAUACUCAAUUAUUAAGCUACAGUAUUAAUCGUUAUAAAUUGAAAAAAACUAAUAUCAAAUAAAUUAUUUGUAAUUGUGUUAAAAAAACAAGUAUUGAAUAAUUAUAAAUUGCUACGAAACCACAAUGAGUACUAGAAAUAAUAAUAUUAUUCAAAUACAUAAUUAAUGGUACACCACAUAGUAACAACAUUGUCUAGUGCAUAAUAUUACACCACGUAUAUCCAAAUACAUAAUUAAUGGUACACCACAUAGUAAGAACAUUGUCCAAGUGCAUAAUAUUACACCACAUAAAUGUAUCAAUAUCUUCAACCCUGAGAAAAUUUUUGAAGCCAAAUUUUUUUAUGCUUCUUAUUUUUAACCAAAAAAAUUUUGGCCUCUGAUUCAUGACUCCUUAUAUAAUCAAGCACAAAACACAAGAAGUCUUCAUCAAAUCCUUCUUCCUCCAUCGACAUCACUUGUUCGUAAAGCUGUGAUGUAUUAUCGGCAGUAAAUUUUUCCAAAGUAUUAGCAAUUUUGCCAAGUUGUUCACCCACAAAUUUAAUUUGUUCAUCAACGAGACUUUCUUGACCAAUUUUUCUUUUACGUUUGGAUGUGCCAGAUGAAGAUACAUUUGUUCUUACCUCUUCAGCCUCUUCAUUGUUGCAGUCUACAGGCAUUGAAUCUUCAUUACCAUCAUCCAAAUCUAUGUCAGCAAAUGUUUUGGCAAAAUUCCCUGUUGCCAUAUCUUUGCCAACAACCACAGCCAUUUCAUCAUAAUGAUCAAUGCUUUUAUUCAAAAAUGGUUCAUACUUCUUGUGUGCCUGUUGGAUAUUAUACACAAUUAGAAUAGCAAGUAAAAAACAAUUGAAAUAUACUUAACAUAUAUAUAUACAUAUAUUACCAUCACUGCUGCAUCAUAUGUCGCUCUAUCACAUGUGAUCAUUUUCAUGUUAUCAUCCCAUCCAAAACCACUUUCAGCUCGAAUUUUGCAUAUAAUCUGCCACUGGUUUUUUACUGUCCUCAAAUGAUUUUCCACAUGCUUCGCAUCGCAUUGGACUUGGAAUCUUUCUAAAAUGGCGUCAACAACUCGAUUAAUAGAAACUGCUCUGAAAGUAUUAGAAGGUUUAUUUCUUUUUCGAGCCUCCUCUGCUAGAAUUUCAAGGAAAACAUGUUCCAUCGGUUUUGUCCACCUGAAUUGCUUGGAUGUCCCUUCUUUGUUGCCCUUACCCAUUCUACAAAAUAAAUUCAACCAUUUCAAUAUCCAACAAGCUUAAAACAUAAUAAUAAAUUUAAUAUCCAACAAGCUUAAAACAUAAUCAAUAUCUAACAAAUUCAAGACAUAUAUCAAAAUCCAACAAACUAAAAUUUCAAUAUCAUUAUCCAACCAACAUUUACAAAAACAACAUUCAAAAAAAUUUAAUACUAAAACAUACAUAACAUAGAAAUAACAACCUUAAGCCCUAAACCUAAAUAUUUCUAGCCAUAUAAUCAGUCCACAUAGUUUGUGCAAUUUCAUCUCUCUUAGCAGACCAUUCUCUUGCUUCUUGUCUUUCUUCUCGCUCCGUGAGAGUUGAUAUUAUCAAAUCAGACUCAGACGCCUCGUAUAAUCAUUGAUUAAGUAAAUCACUAGGAUCAACUCCCAUUAUAUGAUUAUGAAUGAUACAACAAGCCAAAACUAUAUCUACUUGAGUUUGAAAAUUCCAAAAUGGUUCAGCAUCUAAUACACGAAACCGUUUCUUCAAAAUCCCAAAAACACGUUCAACAGUGAUUCGUAAUGAUGAAUGACAAAGAUUAAAGAGUUCCUUUGCAUUUUCAGGCCCUUCAGCACCAAACUCUUUUAAAUGAUAUCGGACACCACGAUAUGGGGUAAUACAUCCAUUUCGGAUGCCAUAUCCAGCAUCAGCAAGAUAAUAUUUACCUACAAUUUUACAAUACAUAAUUAAUACUAAUAAAUUAUGAGCUUAUUAGAACUAUUUGCUAUUUUUAUGAUAAAUAUUACCUUCCGGAAUUCUUAAUCCUCUUGGACGUGAAAGUGCAUCACUUAAAAUACGAGAAUCAUGUGCACUACCUUCCCAACCAGCUAGAACAUAGGAAAAUUUCAAAUCAAAUGUAAUGGCAGCCAAUACAUUUUGUGUCGUCCCCCUUUUACGGCUACGAAAUCUUCCUUGCAUGCUAAGUGGAACGGAUGCACGAAUAUGAGUUCCAUCUAAUGCUCCAAUACAAUCUUUAAAAUAAGGAUAAAACCUUGGAUUGUUUCUAAUUUCACUAGGAGUUGACUCAUCAGGUAAUCUAAUAACUAGUCUAUACAAUUUUAAAAUAGCUCUCAAUACAACCCUAAAGUAACGGUGAACUGUCUCAGUUGAUCUAUAAUAUCUAGAUCCAAUCACUCGAAACCUUACAUUAUGACCAAUUAUAUGUAAAGAUAUAAUUACUUGCUCCCUAAUAUUCACAGAUUUUGUUGAUUGUAACAAAUGAUUCCUACUAAGAAUAUCACACAAAUUAAAAAAAGCGAUCGGUCUCAUCCUUAUCACAUCAAUACAAUGCUGGUCACCACUAUAUAAAAUACUAUUAAUAUAAUUUUCUCUUUCAUAAUCUCGAUUCACACGAGAACGUGAAGCAAUUUUCUUCCUAGUUUCUAAUUUUUUAAUCCAAAGAGCCCCAAAAGCUAAAACUGAAGCCACGACUCCGACAAUUGCAGUUUGAUGUUGAUUACGAUCCAUCUACACAAAAUAAUGCCACACAAAUAUAUGAUCACUACAAAAAGAUGCAAGAUUUUCAUAAGAUCACAUAAAGUUACCAUGACUAAGAGUGCAUACAUACAUAUCAAGCUAAUUAUAAUUGAAAGUACCACUUAAAAUGAAAGCAUGAAAAAUGAAAGCAUUGAAAGUUCAAAAAUGAAAAAAUCGGUCCUGUCACUUCAAUUUCUAAGGCUAAAAAUUGGACUAAGCUUGUCCAUAAAGCAGCCUUAGUUAAAGAAGAAAACGCAAAAAAGCUGCUUUUGCUAUUGUUGUAUGGAUAAUGCUAAUAUUGGCAUUUACAAUACAAUUAAAUAAUGUUAUACCAAAUUUUUAUUUAGUUUAUAUAUUCAAAUGUGACUUGAAUAAAAAUAGAAUGUAAAGGGCCACCAUAGUCGACUGAAGAUGGCUGCUUCAAGCCUAUAUUUUAUUUCUGCCAAAUUUUUUUUGUGUUCAGAUUUUCUUUGCCAUUUAUAAUAUACGGGGUCGCGAAUUGCGAUACAUUUUUCUCUACUUGUAAGCCCAUUAACCAGUACACUAUGAGAAGUUUCAUGACUGAAAUUAAAUUUUGCCUGGUUUAGUUCAUUGGUUUUUAAUUUUUUUUUAAAAAAAACUGAACUUUUGGAAGAACAAUUCCUGAAUGUUUUACGUAUGCUUAAAUAGUAAGGAAGAAAUAAAUGACAAAAAGCAGGUUAUCUACAACAGCUCAUAAGGAAGAAAGACAUCAUGAGGGGCAAAAAUCUUCUAAACAAGACCCCAAACACAAGAGAUGAGCUCCUCUUAAUUGAUAGAGAAAUCAGCAAGAAAUUUGCACAAAACGACAGUAUCCAAAAUGCUUGAAAGAUAAAUGUUAAAAACAACAAUGGGAUCACAACAAGGAUUAAGAUUUGCUAAUGCUAGGUUGGGAAAAUGAAACAGGGGGAGGAUGGAAAAUUCUCAAUCUAGUGGCCAAAAUUCAUAAUAACUUCAUGUUUUUAAGGCAGAGCCAUUAGACUAAAAGUUAUUCCUUCCUUUCUUCCAAUCAAGAUGGUUAAAUUAGAUUCAAAUGGGGGAAAAUUUUGCUUCUCAGAUCAUUUGAGAAAGUAGGGGACUGUCACAAAUAUCUUUAUUAGACAGUGCCAUGCAUAUUGGCUUGUUGCACGGAAAGGAGAUACUGCCAAACAAACAGACCCUAUAUGUAGUAUUUAAAAAAAUCAGUAAAAUAGAAAAUUAAAGAAAAAGUUAAAAAAUUAUCAACUUUUUAAGUUUUGAACUAAACAAUAAAACUGGUUAUGGCAGAGAUCUUCUAGUAGUCAUUUUAACAUUGAAUUUUCUAAGGAAAUUUGGAUUGAACUGAAAGUCUUAUUGGUAUUUUUGAUUGGUUUGUUUCUCAAGCAUAAACUUUAUAUAUAUGAGUUGCUAACAAUUUUUAAUAUUCAAGAAAUAAAAGAUCAAAUCUCAAGCAUAAAGUCUCUCUAUUUGACAUUUUUAAACAAAAACUUAACAGUAAGGAUAAUCACCUCAACACUUCCUUUUAAUCCAUUAACUCAAUGCUAAAACUAAACCAUGGAAUCAAUUAUAAUGCAAAGGAAUAAAAGCAUUAACAAUUUACUCCAGUAAAGAAGACCCACGGCAUUCAGAACUACAACAACAUCUAUAUACCCUGAGUUUCUUUUAUCGUUGCAACUAGAAGGGGAGGAAUAAGUUGAAUACAGAUCACACAAUGGUCUUGUAAGUGCUGAAAAAGUUGGGUGCUCAAUAGCCCUGCAAAAAUUAGAGGAACAUCAUUGUACUCAGAAACUACUUAAAAAUUAGAGGAACUGGAAAUGCUCUUAGUCCACUUCAGCUCAACAUCUACUGUCUCCAUGAAAAAAAAAAGGAUUAUUUAACCACUGGUGAAGCUAAAAUCUCCACAUGGGACGCUACUAAUCUGCUAUCCUAUAUGAAAGCUCAAAAACGCCCCAAGCAAGUUAACAGACAUCCAUGAAUGCCUAAUAAAAUCGACAAUGGAAACACAAUACAACAAUAGUAAGAAUAGUUAUGGGGUUUCUAAAAUCCACGGUAACGUAAAUGAUGAUAAUCAUUAACUAUACAAAAAGAAGUGAACAUUAGAGUAUUAAGCUUAAUUCGUUUAAGAAAUUCAGCAACCCUAAAAUUACACAACAAAAUGCGAUAAAAUAAAGUUCAAAUUCCAACUAAGGAAUAAACAAAUAAAAAAACGAUAAGAGAUAAGAAAUGAAUCGGGUCAAUCGCAUCUACUAACUGAAGCUUUGAAGGUAGAAAUGUUGAGAUUUUUAUACAGAAAAUAGCAAGAAAAUUAAAAGGGAAAGCUUCCCUGUAGUGAAGAAUUGGGGGUCGAGUGGUGUAGGGAAGAAGAGGAUGAGUUUUCAUCCUUCUUCCGAUUUCUGGAAAAUCCAGCAAAAAACCACCAAUUUCAUAAAAAACUUGAAGCUUUUGGGUGACUCACCGACAGAUCUAUGGAGCAGAAAGAUGGAGAAGGAAGAUGCUGAGAGACAGAGAUGGCAAGGCAGAGAUGAGGAGAGGCGGAAGCUUUGAGGAAUGGAAAAUGUCUGCUGCUUAGAAGAGAACAGAAAAUGUCUGCUUAGAGAAGAAUGGAAAAUGUCUUACCAAUUUUGAAGCCGUAAGACAAUUUCCGGAGGAAUGGGCUUGAUUUUACCGUGUUUUGGAAAAUGGUUUCCUAAAGGAAUUCAUUUUCCCCCAAACAAACACCGGAAAUGAUGUAAAAUAUUUUCCGGAAACCAUUUUACAAACAAACGCACCCUUGGUUUUCUCGGUGUUUCUAGGGUUUUGCUGGGUUUUACUUGGUUUUUGAGUGCGCUUUUAGGGAUUAUUGUUUUCGUCAGGCUUUUGAAGGACGGUGGAUAAUGGGUUGGCAAAUAUCAACAUUAUGGACGAUGAGAAAGAGCCUUUGGUGUUCGCAGGUACCGACAUUGCUACAGGUCAGUUAUAUGAUUUGUGUUUCGUUGGGCGAGUUCUUACGGAUAGUGUGGUUAAUUUUUCUUCUUUAAAAAAUACAUUGGCUGAUUUAUGGCAUCCGUUGAGGGGCGUGGCUAUUUCAGAAUUGGAGGGUAAGAGGAUAUUACUUAAGUUUUACAGUGAAAUCAGUUUAAAUGAGUCAUGGAGGGCAUGCCCUGGUUUUUUAACCGACAUCUCAUUAUUCUCUAUAGAUUAAUAGAGGGUGAGGAUCCAAUCACAAUGCCUCUUCGGGAAACGGUGUUUUGUGUGCAAGUUCAUAAUCUUCUAAUUGGAGUUGUUACCGAGGGAAUGGCUAGACAAUUUGGGGAUUUUAUUGGUAAAUUCUUGGAAUAUGAUACAUCAACGGUACUCAGAGGAAUAAUUAGAGUAUUAAUGGAUAUUCGUUCUCCGCUUAAAAUGAAGAAGCGGAUUGAUAUUGGUCAGAGUAAAUCUUUUUAUGUUGUUUUCUAGUAUGAAAGAUUGUCAUUGUUUUGUUUUUUCUGUGGUCGGCUAGGGCAUGAUGAAAAUUUUUACCAAGUCCGACUAACGCUGGGGAACCAGCAAGUGGAAUUUGGGUGGGACCUGUCGCUCAGGGCUUCACCGAGAAGGGGAGGUCAACUGAAGAGUAAAUGGCUACGAGAGGAACAAGAUUUUGAUUGGUGGUCCAACAUGGAGAUUGAUGGGAAAAAACAGAAAGGAAGUUUGGCGCGUAUAUGACAAAUAACUGUGAUCGCUUAGGAGGGGAGGACAGCUGAGACGUUUUGUAAGGCAGAACCAAAAUAGGAUGGAUGUAAAGGCCUUCGAAACUAUGGAGGAGGUGGAGAGAACUGAGAAUGGCUUUGAGAUGGAGCAGAUACCGAUGGAUUUGGUUGAUGAAAAAAAGAGGCAGAUAGUUAAUUUCGAAAUGGAAAAUUUCGGGCAUAACAAAGGAGUGUUGGAGAUUGGGUUGGAAAAUAAUGUAUCGGCGACCAAUUUUACAUUGGUUGACCAGGCGCAAUGAAAAUCCUUAGUUGGUGGUUUGGGGCAACCACGAAUAGUUAGACAUCUCAAAAACAAAGUGAGACACAUUCAGCCCCAAAUAUUGUUUCUUAUGGAAACAAAAGUUAACAAUAGAAGGAUGGAGAAAAUAAGGAGGCAAUGUGGUUUUCCGAACGGCAUUGAGGUUGAUGCGGUGGGAACAAGGGGAGGUUUAUCGCUAGGAUGGAGGGAGGGGCUCAAUGUAACAUUAAAGAGCUUCUCAAAAUCACAUAUUGACGUAAAGGUUGAAGAGGAGAACGUACUGGGAGUAUGGAGAUUCACAGGAUUUUUUGAGGCAACAGUUGAGCACGAGAGGAAGGAGUCGUAGGAGCUGCUUAGGACGCUACAGAAUGGGAACAAUAACCCUUGGUUGGUCGCUGGUGAUUUUAAUGAGAUUCUCUUUUCGUUUGAAAAACAAUGAGGUAGAGUUCGAGAGGAAAGACAAAUAGCUGCAUUUAGAGCAAUACUAGAGGAUUGUGGUUUGUCAGAUCUGGGGUUAUCUGGCCAGUGGUAUACAUGGGAAAGGGGUAGGCUUGCUAGCAACAAUAUUAGGGAAAGGCUCGAUAGGGGGUUGCCAAUGCGGAAUGAUGGGAUUGGUUUCCCGAUUUUUCUGUAUGCCAUUUACAGCAUAGUUUUUCAUAUCAUUGCCCGUUAGUUGUGAACACAGGUGAGGAUAGUGAGAUGCAAGGUAAGAGGCGACAUGGGAGAUUUUGAUUUAAUGCUGAUUGGAUUCUAGAUCCAGGUUUUGAGGAGCAAGUCCAGCGUAAUUGGACCUCUAAUACUCAGGAUGUGUUGGUGAAACUAAAUGAGAUAGGUUUGGGAGUUAAAUGUUGGGCACAAAAGGAGAAAAGAUUAAGGGGACGAAGAAUAGAAGAACUAAACGUCAGACUAUUUGAUUUGGGGAAUGGUGGAAUUUGUGAUGCAGUCUUGGAGGAAAUGACUGAAAUAAAACUUCAUUUGAAUCUUGAGGCCGACAAGGAAGAGUUGUUUUGGGAACAAAGAGCAAGAACUAAUUGGCUUCGGAUGAGAGACAGAAAUACGGUAUUUUUUCACAGAAGUGCAACUGGUCGUAAGAAGAAAAAUAUGGUGAAGAAACUUGAAAGUGAUGAUGGAAACGUGGUUACCGAUUUUGAUGGGAUAUCUAAAAUAGCUACGGAUUACUUCAAUGAGCUAUUUUCUUCUAAAGAAUCUGGUGAUUGUGAGAGAUUAUUUGCGUCAUUCUCACCAUGUAUUUCGGAGGAACUUAAUAAAGAAUUGAUGGCAGAAUUUAAAGAGUAAGAGGUUGUGGUGGUGAUGAAGUUUAUACCUCCGCUUAAGGCGUCAGGUAAGGACGGAUAUCCUACGCUUUUUUAUAAAAAAAUAUUGGCAUAUCAUUGGGGAGGAUGUGACUAGGUACUGUUUAGAUGUUCUACAUGGCCGGAGGAAUAUGGAGGAGAUUAACAGAACAUGUAUUGUUCUUAUUCCUAAGGUCAAUUCACCGAAAGUGAUGAGCCAAUUUCGACCUAUAAGCUUAUGCAAUGUGCUUUAUAAAAUUAUUUCAAAAGUUCUUGUCAACCGCUUCCGCAAGGUUCUAAGUUGGUGUAUCGAAGAUAAUCAAGGAGCAUUCAUAGUAGGAAGACAAAUUACGAACAAUAUAUUUGUGGCUUAUGAAAUUCUGCACUCAUUCAAAAAGAGAAGAGGGUCCUCGAAAAAGGGCUUUGCUUUAAAGCUUGAUAUGAGCAAAGCCUAUGAUAAAAUAGAGUGGGGAUUCUUAGAUAACAUGAUGCGUCAGCUAGGGUUUUGUGAAGAUUGGAUUAUGCUUAUUAUGAGGCAUAUUUCUAGUAUCUCGUAUUCAGUUGUGCUGAAUGAAAGAAUUGGGGAGGAAUUUAGGCCUCAAAGAGGUCCGAGACAAGGAGGUCCACUCAGCCCGUAUUUGUUCCUUAUUUGUACGGAAGGUUUUCACAACUAAUCGCGUUAGCUAAAAGGGAAGGAAGGCUUGUUGGAACUAAGAUAGGAAGGGGUAAUGUUACAGUCUCACACUUGUUUUUUGCAGAUGAUAGCAUCCUUUUUAGUGAUGCUUCGGUUGAAGGAGUAAGUAAUAUGAAGGUUGUCAUCAAUGAAUAUGAAAGGAUGUCAGGUCAGUUGGUGAACUUUGAUAAGUCCCUAAUUUAUUUCAGCAAUAAUGUAGAUUUGGAGACACAGGCACAGGUGGGAGGAGUUUUGGGUGUGAGAAUAUCUAAUAAUCCGAAAAGAUAUUUGGGGCUGUUGACUAUGGUUGGGAGACGAAAAAAAAUGCAUUUGUGCAUAUCAAAGAACGCUUUAUAAGCGUACUGAGCGGGGAGGGGGGAAAGAAGUAUUUUUGAAAUUUAUUUUACAAGCCAUCUCGAUUUAUGCAAUGCAGUGUUUUAAACUUUCAACCUAGAGAGUCUUAUGAGUAAAUUCUGGUGGAGGAACCCCAAAACCAAUAAAGGCAUACAUUAGUGCAAGUGGAGUUAUUUGUGUAUCCCCAAAACGAAGGGAGGUCUCGAUUUUAAGGAUUUAGAAAAUUUUAAUCUAGCCAUGUUAGCGAAGAGGGUUGGAAAAUCAUUAUGCAACCUCAAUGUCUAUUUGCUCGAGUCAUGAAAGCAAAAUAUUUUCCAAUAGGGGAUUUUAUGAGUGCUGGGUUAGGAUCUUAUCCUUCGUUUACCUGACGAAGUAUAUGGAGUGCUAGACAAAUCCUAGAGGAGGGUAUGAGGUAGAGAGUUGGGAAUGAAUCAAUUAACAUUUGGAACGAUAGCUGGAUGCCGGGGCUAGGAAGUGGAAGAGUGUAAUGUCAAAACAUAGAUAUUAGAUAUACAAAUGUCUCUGAUUUAAUUGAUAGGGAUACCAAUACCUGGAAGCAAGACGUUAUCAGAUUCUUAUUUGGGGAGGAGCAGUUAAGGAGUAUUCUUUCAAUCCCUUUAAUGAGCAGUCAACCUUAUGAUCAGCUAAUUUGGCGAGGAGAUAAUACAGGGCAGUACACAGUCAAAAGUGGCUAAAAUGGAUCAAUACAAGCGGAAGUUAUAGAUUACAUACCGACAGUCCUACCACUUUCUAUACAAAGCUGUGGGGACUUAAUAUACCGAGCAAAAUUUGUAUCCUUAUGUGGCGAAUAGCCAAUGAUUUUUUGCCCACGUUAUACAACCUAAGACUGUGGAAAUUGGAAACUAAUUCAUUAUGCCUGGUGUGUCAAACUGAGGAGGAAACAGUGAGCCAUCUGUUUCGGGAUUGUUCUUUCACACAACAGGUUUUGCGAAGGUUAGGAGUGCCAGACGUAACAUGUAAUAGAAAACCUAAUUGGAAAUAGUGGUUAGCAAAAGUAGUUGAAAGCCAGAAUGCAGAAAGUAAUAUGAUUAGAUUGAUCAGUUACUGGGCUAUAUGGUAUAACAGUAACAAGCUUUAUCAUGAAGGAAUCAAAGAACAAGUUCAUGGGUUAGUAGCGUUUAUCGAUACCUAUCAUACAGAAAUUAAUGUUAUGGGACAAAUAUCAAAAAAUGCGAAUGGUGUGGUGGAAGUUUCUUGGAAACCUCCAACAGGUGACAUUAUUAAAAAUAAUUAUGAUGCAUCAUUCGACCAGGGCACGGGAAAAUCAGUUUCCGGAAUAUUAGCACAAAAUAGAGAAGGUCUUGUAAUGGCUGCUUGUAUCUUUCCUUGGGAGAACAUUCCAGAUUCAAUGAUGGCGGAGGCAAGGGCGUGUCUGCAAGCAGUUACCAUCGCGAAGGAAAUGGGAUUUCAGGACAUUCUUGUGCAGGGUGAUGCGUUGACCAUAAUCCGCAAACUAAACUCUGCUGAGGAUGAUAAGUUGAGCAUUAGUAGCCUGAUUAAAGAAAUCAAAUGGAGAGGUCAUAGAUUCAAAAGGUUACGUUUUGAGUAUGUACCUCGAGAGGCCAACAAAGUGGCUCAUGGAAUGGCGCUAGAAGGAAGACAACAUGAAAACCCCCAAUACUAGAUUGAGGAAGCUCCGCUCGCGGUGGUUGGAUUGAUUGACCACGAUAGAGGCAGAAUAAGCUAACGGUGUUGAAAUGGCAAAGUCGAGUCCGGACAUUGUGAUAGUGGGUGGGUCCGAAGAACUUGUAAUUUUAACGGAGACUGAGAUUUUGAAGGUUGAUUUUUGUGGGAAGCUUGGUCUCGCAAUCGACUAGUACCGAUGGGUGUUCUUCAUGCAAAAGGAGAGUAAAGGUUUUCAGGCCUAAUUUUUUAGUUUCUCUGUCGUUUUAUGUUCUGAGAUUAUUUUAGUGUUUUUAUUUUAUUUUACAUUAAUUAGUUUUCUUGAAAGUACUGUUUAGGUAGCCAGCUGUUGGUGUAUAGUUGUUAGCAUUUCUUUUCCUAUGCCUGUAAUUAAAUCAUAUUUCCUCCCAUCAAUGCAGUAUCGGCUGAGUAGUAUUAAAAAAAAAAUUAUAGUAAUUUCCAUAAAAGGAUUUUACAAACCGUUAGAAAUUGAAGUAGAUGGUAAUGUUGGUACACAACGUCAAAGAAAAAAUAAAACAUUUAUUACUUUCUUCUACUUGGUAGAUGGAGUGGAGAUCUUGGUCAAGGCAUAUAUAUAUAUACCACAAGAAAGAAAUGAUAAUGUUCUUAAAUUAAUUUCAACAUUAGUUCACAGUUUUUCUUUUAUUCAAUUUAAUCUUGAUUUUAAAUGUAAUCUAUUAAUGUUAUUGAAUUUAGUUAAUAUUUUUAUGACCUCUAAUCAUUAAUGUUUUUGCAUGUAUUACAUAUGUGUAAUUCAAUUAACUUGGUUAUUGUGAUAGUUGUUUGGAUACUUAUAACAUUUAAAAAACUUGGUUGACGAGAAGCAAAUAUUUUUUCAAGAAAUGAGAGAAAUAAAUAAAUAUAACAUUUAUACCAUUUGUUCAUGGUAUAUUUUCAUCAUAAGUCCCUCUGCCACUUGUAUUAUUAAUUUACAUUAUUAAUCCUUUGUAUUUUACAUAUGUCACAAAUUAAUCUUAUUAAUUAGUACUAUUUUUAAAAGAAGGUUUAAGGGUGUAAAAAGCUCUCGCACUUUAAAAAUAAAAACAAUUAAAAAAAAUUUCUCACUCAAUUGGGUACCUAAACUGUAAAAAUGCAUCCAAAAUGCCCUUUUAACGAUCAAAGGGCUUCUUUAAAACAUUUUGGUAGUUUAGAUACCCAAUUGAGUCAAAUGGUUUUUUUUAUGCAUUUUGACAGUUUAGAUACGCAAAAAAAAAAGAGGAAAAAAAAGAGCAAUGACUUAAUUUCUUUUAAAGUUUGGAUUUUUUUACACUCUUUAAGCCUUAAAAGAAAUGAAUUUCAUCUAUUUUUUACAAUUAUUUUAAAACUAAUACAAAAUGUUAGAAUAUUUGAAGUAAAAGUGUAUGGAAAUAAAUAAUGAAAUUUAAAUAUAUUAAAAAUGUAUUAAAUAUUAAUAUUAAAAAGUUUUUUAAAAUCUUAAUAUUUUAAAAUUUAAUUAUUUAAGGCAGAAUAUUUGAUGCAUUAUUAUCAAUACAUAGGUUUCAUGUAUCAUCAGUUAAUAAUAAGAUGACACAUUAUCACUUAUGUAAAACAAAAAAUAUUGAAGGGUUUAAAAAUAAAUAUAAAUAAAUUUAUCUUUUUAAAAAGUAAAUAUUAAUUAUCAUCAUUAAACAUAAAAAUAAAAAAAAUCAAAUACGAAAUUUGAAAUCCAAAACCUCAAAACCAAAAUUUGAAACCAAAAAAAUUAAACCUAAAACUUGAAAGAAAAAUAACAAAUAUAAUUAAUACUUAAUUAUGUUUAAUAAGUUAAUAUUAUUUAUUUUAAAGUCUUUCACUGUUUUUUUAUUUUACAUUGUAUGAUUUUAUUAUUAAUUAAUGGUGUAAAAUUGUGGAAACCUAGAUUAUCACAGCAAUUAAGAUAUUAUUAAAGUUUUUCGUUCAAUUUCGUAGUGUUCUCACUUUAUUUCUCAUUUAAAUGCAUUUCAAAAAGACUCAAAACACUAAAUUUCAUCUGCCAUAUCUAAAGAAGAAAUAUUUAACUGAAAAACCAAAAAAAAAAAAAGCUCGGGUAAGACCAAAAUUUAACAAUAUCAUGUUAUUAAAAUAAUAUAAUCAUCAAAGCCGAUAUUAAAUUAUUACAAUAACGAGAAUUCAUAAGACAAAUGACAUUGUAAUUCAUGAAUAAUCUGAUGAAUUGUUUUUUUUUUCUUUUAAUUAAUAGUUCCUAUUCUCAACCAGCAUGCGCACAUCAUUACACAGCAGACUCCGAUAGCCAUUUAGCCAUAUAAUUACCAAUCGUGUUAUAGACCCUCGGCACCUUUUCAAGUUCGACCUCCCAGCGCCGUUGUAGCAGCACCAUAAUCCUCCGAACCAGUGAGCAAUCAUGCCAGCCAUCAGUUGCAGCACCUCAUUGUUGUUGCUCUCGACUAUCAACUGUCGAUAAACUUUAUCCAAACCACCAAGAACCACCCACAACUCCAAGUGGAGAACCACCGCUAUGCCAAGCUGCCUAGUAAACACAACAAUCCGGCUUAAAUGGCAAUUGAUUGUAUCUUGAAGUAAAUAGUUUAUUACGUCUUGUUUCUUUUCGUUUGUAAUGAGAUUAUUAAGAUUUUGUUUUCAUUGAAAAUUUUAUGAUAUUUUGUUAUUUUUCAUGUUAGAUUCUAGUUAUGAAUGUGCUUUCUCUUUGGAGCUUGGAUAAAUUUCAACAUUUUUGUAGUCAGAAAUUGCAUUAAUAAGAUUGAAGUUAUUAGUUUAUUGCAUCUGGUUUUUCUUUUCAUUAUAAUGAAAUUAGUAGGAUUCUAUUUUCAUUGAAAAUUAUAUGAAUUUUUUUUUUCUAUGUUUCUAAUUGACAAUAUACUUUCUUUUUAGAUCUUGACAUGUUUUAACAUUUUUGCAGUUACAAUUUGCCUUAAACAAGAUUGAAAUAAUUACUUUUGUAAUACUUCAGAGUUAAUUGCAUUUUGAUAAAUGGAUAUAUUUUAUAUAACUUUUCAAACAUAGGACUAAAUUAACUUUUUUUUAGAAUUAAUAUUAAAUUGGGACUAAAUUUAAUAGUGUCAGUAUAUUUAAUGCGGACUCGUAUUUGAGGUUCCGUUCGCGGUGAAUCUGAUGAAAAUUUGAUGAAGAUAGUGACUAUAGCACUGAAUUUGAAAAUGAGAUUUGAUUCAGAGCUAUCCUUUCCACACAAAAAUGGUGGAAUUAUCAAGGGAGCUAUCCAUUCCACACAAUUAAACAGGUUUAUACCCGAUGAACUCAAAGCAUAAAAGGAUACACAAUAUUCCAAAACCAGGUAUUAAAUAUAAGUUCCAUAGAAGUUUGACCGCAAACUGACACUAAUUUUUCAAAAAAAAAUCUCGUACAAUAAUAGCUAUUAACAUUAAUGUUCUCAAAACCCUUGAAUAUUAAAUAAUAAAAUAAAAUAAAAUAAAAAAGCACCACAAUCCACUCUCCAGCUCCAAACAUCCUUUUAAGCAGCAACAUGGUUCAAAGAUGGAUUGUAAGGAAGGAAUUAAGCACCAAUUGUCCGCCCACCGCCAUCUCCAUAGGACCCAUCAUCUUAAUGGUGGUGAUACGGUGAAAAGCUAAAAUAAUAAUACGUCAAUAUCAAGUACACCAUCCUACAAUGAUCCCCAACUCCCCCCACAUAAACCAGACUUUGGAGUUCACUUGACACCGCACACAAAAAAAGCCAACUAAAUGCAAAAUGUAGAUCACCAUCAAAAGCAAUUACAAAACUUAGAAGCACUUCCUGUGGACAAUGGAUGGACCGGAUUCAUCAUACUCACCCUUGGAAAUCCACAUCUGUAAAGCAAGAACGUCAGUGUCAGACAACCAUCACACGAAAGAAGUAAAGCCAAAAAUACAAAAAUAUUUACCUGCUGGAAG
rnacentral:lncRNA from 1 species